CCUGCACAGAACCGGAAUAUACAAAAUAAUCUAAGAAUUGACUAAAGACUUGAAUCAACGACCUGAGGAGGGCAGCAAUAUGCCAUUGUUGCAUCUGGCCUGCCUUAUCCAAAGAAGAAGAAGAAGAAUUGUGUCAGUGCAGACAAAUGCAGAGGCGGAAAAACACCAAAGCAAGCUCUCCAGAAGAACCCACGACAAUACAGAACACGUGAUCCAGAAUCUGACCCUGAUCAGGGGGAGGCAACUGUUUAAGCAUGGCAGCCAAUGUUGCAACAUAAAUUCUUUGACUGGAAAAUUCAGAUGUUAUUCCUCCUUUCUUUCUUUUUUGUGUGUAACGUCAUGUGGUCCUCUCUUGUUGUUUAGUCAGAUGAUGUGUUGAGGACAAACUAACAAAUCAGCACCAGUUGGCACACUGUUGUUAAAAAUAAAAAACAGCCACUGUUUUCUCUGUCCCUCUGGCAAUGGUAAAUAAUAAAGACAUUUGUUGUUUUUUACAACAAACAGCA